UGACUCCAAAGUCUUCUCACACACACCUGUUUCUUGAUCAAUAAUUGGUAUUGACCCCAAAGUCUUCUCACAUUCACAUAUUUCUUGAUCAAACAAUCUUUCAUUUAGAUAACGGUGAGAUUAGAUUGUCUGUAAGAAUUUACUUGAAGGAGUAGGAGAAGGCAAUAGACAAGAAAAAUCGUCUCUCAUCAUCAACAAUAUUCAGCUUCUUCUUUGUAUUAGGUGCUGAUGGAAAACACAAGUCAACUGUUCUUGAUCUGUUGCUAGUGACUGUUCUUGCAAUGAAAGUAAUAGCAAGCUAGCAUUGGUAGCAAGUGACGAGUGAUCAUGUUAAGAUUGAUUAUAUCAAAUUAAGCUAGUAUAUAUCCAUCGUUAAGAGUUAGAGGAAUUUUCUGAUAAAUAUAAGUUGUGUGGGUUCUUGUACUAUUAGACUUCAAUUUCUUUUAACGAAUGUUCAGCUGUUGAAGUGGAGUGCUCUUUGUAUGUCUUUAGGAGAAAAAGGAGAGCACUUAUUGAUUUCGAUUCUUAGUGAUUGAGGAAGACACGAUCUUGUAACUGCCUGAUAUGGCAUCUUCAUCUGCUGUUGCU